GCGAGCACGAUGCGAGCAGCAGCAGCAGAGCCCGACGAACUCCAGAGCUCGCAGCCGACGCAGGCCGCCGUCUGCGUGACGGGCCUCCGCCCGCACCUCCCACCGUAGCACGCCGCAAUGGAGGCCAAGCGCCCAUGGAAUCGCCUGAGCUCUCCUCCCAGCCGCCGUUCUCCUUCAAAUUCGUCGGGAUCCGGUUGGAUCUAGACGCCGGCGCCCCGUUCCCGACCUUCCCGCCUUGCUUGGGUCGUCGGCCACCGCGACGAUGUCAAUAUCGCUCGCGGGAUCCAGCGCCACCGCUGCUGGCCACUUCCUCGCCGGAGAUGCCCCCACAUCCGCGGCUCCCCACACGAGCAGCAGCAGCGAACACGUCGCUAAGGCCGUCUCCGGCGGUGUCUUUUUCUUUUUAUAGAAGUUUGCCAAAUCUGUGCCAGAACAGCCAUGGCGAUGAACUCCAGCUCAAGGCCCGCGAGCGCUUGGUGGCGUUUGAUGCGGUGCCUGGAGAAUAUCUCUGGGCAGAGUAGUAGGCCAGAUCUAGUUUAGGAAAAAAAAUCUGUAAUUCCAAGUUUUUCUUGUGUAUUUCUUCUUUUUGGUAAAACAAAUUUUAGUUAUCUGGUAUUUUUAUGCAAUUUCCUUUUCUA